rnacentral:rRNA from 1 species
AUUAUCAGUAUAACCUUAAAGGCACCAGAUCCCAUCUGAUCUUGGAAACUAAGUAGGAUCAGUCCUGAUUAGUACUUGGAUGGGAGACUGCCAACAAGUGUAAGCUACUGUAGGCU